UAGGGAAUCUUCGGCAAUGGACGAAAGUCUGACCGAGCAACGCCGCGUGAGUGAAGAAGGUUUUCGGAUCGUAAAACUCUGUUGUUAGAGAAGAACAAGGACGUUAGUAACUGAACGUCCCCUGACGGUAUCUAACCAGAAAGCCACGGCUAACUACGUGCCAGCAGCCGCGGUAAUACGUAGGUGGCAAGCGUUGUCCGGAUUUAUUGGGCGUAAAGCGAGCGCAGGCGGUUUCUUAAGUCUGAUGUGAAAGCCCCCGGCUCAACCGGGGAGGGUCAUUGGAAACUGGUAGACUUGAGUGCAGAAGAGGACAGUGGAAUUCCAUGUGUAGCGGUGCACUGCGUAGCUUUAUGUAGGAACACCAGUGGCGACGGCGGCUCUCUGGUCUGUAACUGACGCUGAGGCUCGAAAGCGUGGGGAGCAAACAGG
rnacentral:rRNA from 1 species